CAGCCUCAGCACUCUAGUCACUCUCUCUGAGCUGCUGUUGCUGCUGCUGCUGCUGCUGCAAUGUGUUCUGUCAUUGCCAAGCUCCCUUCGCUUCCACUCUCCCUCUCCAUCGUCUCCUCAUCUUCUUCUUCCUCCAAGGAUGGGAAAACCAACUCAAAGUCGGUGAAGCUGAGAGAGGACUGGCGGCAACGCUCCAGGGCCAUCCCACCCGGCGGCACUUACCCGGCUAAAGACCACUGCAGUCGUUGCGGGUUGUGUGACACAUAUUACAUUGCCCAUGUCAAGGAAGCUUGUGCUUUCUUAGGAGAUGGAAUGUCUAAGAUUGAAGGUUUGGAACCUGUAGUUCAUGGUAGAGGGAGGAAACCGGGUUCCUCAGAUGAAAUGUACUUGGGUGUCUAUGAAGAGCUCUUGUAUGCUCGUAAAGUAAAGCCUGUCGAAGGAGCUCAGUGGACAGGAAUAGUAACAACUAUUGCAAUCGAAAUGCUGAAAUCAGGCAUGGUGGAGGCCGUCAUUUGUGUACAGAGUGACCCAAACGACAGAUUUACUCCUCGACCUGUAUUAGCAAGGACACCAGAGGAAGUUCUAGCUGCUAGAGGUGUCAAGCCGACAUUAUCUCCUAAUCUGAAUACCCUUGCCCUAGUUGAGGCUGCAGGUGUAAAAAAGCUUCUAUUCUGUGGUGUGGGUUGCCAGGUGCAAGCAUUACGAUCUGUGGAGCACCACUUAAAUUUGGACAAGCUCUACGUGCUAGGAACAAAUUGCGUGGACAACGGGACUCGAGAAGGCCUUGAUAAGUUUCUGAAGGCUGCGAGUAGUGAACCAGAGACAGUUCUUCAUUACGAGUUUAUGCAAGAUUACAAGGUUCACUUGAAGCAUUUGGAUGGUCAUAUUGAAGAGGUUCCUUAUUUUUCUCUGCCAGCAAAUGACUUAGUUGAUGUAAUUGCUCCUUCUUGUUAUAGCUGUUUUGACUAUACAAAUGGUUUAGCGGAUUUAGUUGUUGGAUACAUGGGGGUGCCGAAAUAUUCUGGAAUCAGCAUGACCCAACAUCCACAGUAUGUUACGGUAAGAAAUGAACGUGGAAGAGAGAUGCUCAGUCUGAUUAAAAAGCAUUUGGCGAUCACUCCAACAACUAGUAGUGGUACUCGCGGACCAUUUACCAUGGAGACUGUUAAGGCUGAUGAUACUGCUAAGAUGGGUACGUGGAGCAGCUUCUUUGAGAUACUUUUUUUGGAAAUGAAAAGGUCCUGAGCCUGCACCAAAGUUUGUCGGCAAUGUGAUCGCUUUCUUGUUAAACUUGAUUGGCCCAAAAGGUUUGGAAUUUGCUCGUUAUUCGCUCGAUUACCAUACCAUCCGGAACUACCUAUAUGUAAACCGAACAUGGGGAAAACAAAGAGCUGAUCAGCAUAUGCCUUCAUAUGCAAAGAAGAUUGUCGAUUCCUACAACAAGAAUGGUGAAAUCGAUCGGAUUCUUUCCACCAAGCCCAAGUGAUCGCAUUAGCUGGUGAAAAUGUAAAUGAAGUGGGAACUUCAAUGUCUAUGGAAUUUUGUCCUUAAUCUGUUCUGUAAGUACAUAUGAACGAUUGCAUAGCAAUAGUAUUUUUGUUUAACUCGACCAAUUCUUCGGUCCUUCAAUAUUCCAUCCCAAGUUCUGUUUAGGCAUCAGUUGCAGACAAUGCAACGUAAGAUAGUUUUUCUUAUUAUCAUUGUGCCUGGGAUUGUUGGUUAAUUGAGUAGUGACUUUUCCCCCAUUCAAUAUAGGCUGUGUUCCUUGAA